rnacentral:rRNA from 1 species
GGAGGAAAAGAAACCAACAGGGAUUGCCCUAGUAACGGCGAGUGAAGCGGCAACAGCUCAAAUUUGAAAUCUGGCCUCACGGUCCGAAUUGUAAUUUGUAGAGGAUGUUUCUGGCGACGUGUCUUCCGAGUUCCCUGGAACGGGACGCCAUAGAGGGUGAGAGCCCCGUCCGGUCGUACACCUAGCCUCUGUGAAACUCCUUCGACGAGUCGAGUAGUUUGGGAAUGCUGCUCUAAAUGGGAGGUAUACGUCUUCUAAAGCUAAAUACCGGCCAGAGACCGAUAGCGCACAAGUAGAGUGAUCGAAAGAUGAAAAGCACUUUGAAAAGAGGGUUAAAUAGUACGUGAAAUUGCUGAAAGGGAAGCGCUUAUGACCAGACUUGGGCUCGGUGAAUCAUCCGGCGUUCUCGCCGGUGCACUUUGCCGUCCCAGGCCAGCAUCAGUUCGCGCCGGGGGAUAAAGGUUUCGGGAAUGUAGCUCCCUCGGGAGUGUUAUAGCCCGUUGCGUAAUACCCUGGCGUGGACUGAGGUCCGCGCUCUGCAAGGAUGCUGGCGUAAUGGUCAUCAGUGACCCGUCU